AGAGUUUGAUCCUGGCUCAGAACGAACGCUGGCGGCAGGCCUAACACAUGCAAGUCGAACGCCGUAGCAAUACGGAGUGGCAGACGGGUGAGUAUCGCGUGGGAACAUACCCCUCGGUUCGGAAUAACUCAGGGAAACUUGAGCUAAUACCGGAUACGUCCGAGGUUUUAAUCGACCUUGGAGAAAGAUUUAUCGCCGGAGGAUUGGCCCGCGUCUGAUUAGCUUGUUGGUGAGGUAAUGGCUCACCAAGGCGACGAUCAGUAGCUGGUCUGAGAGGAUGAUCAGCCACAUUGGGACUGAGACACGGCCCAAACUCCUACGGGAGGCAGCAGUGGGGAAUAUUGGACAAUGGGCGAAAGCCUGAUCCAGCCAUGCCGCGUGAGUGAUGAAGGCCUUAGGGUUGUAAA
rnacentral:rRNA from 1 species